rnacentral:misc_RNA from 1 species
GAGAGAGAGAGAGAGAGAGAAGUAUCACUCACUCAGGACCUUACGGAUCUUCCUUCUUCCUAGGAUAUAAAGAUGGAGGACUUGGAGACUUCUGCCGCUGAGACGGACCUUCAAAAUGAGGACGAGGAUGAGAAGGAAGAGGAAGACCUGGACUCAAUUCGGUUCGCCUCCUAUCGGACAGCUUCAAAGCUGCGUGCUCUUCAAAAGAAGAGUUUGCUGCAUCACAUUGACAUCUGGAACAUGAUCGAGUCCUUCCGUGAGAAUGGUUUGAAUGACAAUGCCCGCGAAGGGAAUGUGACUCUGGGAGAAGGUCGUCUCCGCAGCCUUGUGACCUCAUUAUAUGUGAACUUGGGGAAGCGGCUUCCUCCGGGCCCCGCAAUCCGUGAUGAAGGAGACGUUCUCUUCUCCUGGCUCAUGCGGCUGAGUCCAAAGACGAAAAUCCGGUCAGUGAAAACAGCCUUGGCCGCUCUGGCAGCUGGGAAAUUGAUGGAUAAACUCCGCUAUGUGUUUAGUCAAUGUGCGGAUGGGAACGGACAUUUGAUUCACAAGCGGUUUUGGGAAUUCCUCCGGGACUUGCUGAAACUUGCUCAGUCCGUGGGAGAGUAUGAAGCUUUCAAGUCUUCCUCCUCGGAAGUCAUCUUCCCAGAAGACGCUCGAAUCAAUGUCAAUGACUUUUUAGAAACCAUGAUGUCAGAUCCAGGGCCUUCUUGUCUCUCCUGGCUUCUUGUUCUGCAUCGAGUUAUUAAUGCAGAGUCAGUGCACCAUCCUGUCACAUGUGGGUAUUGUCGUAUUCGGGGCUUUAAUGGACUCAGAUAUAAAUCCGAUCGGGCUAAUUAUCAUCUUUGUCAAAAUUGCUUCUGGAGAGGGAAAAUUGGUCCUGAGCAUCGUGAUGAUGUUUUUAAAGAAUACAAUUCCUACAAGUCAAGCUCAGGCCGAUCUUCUUUUAAGAAGUCACUUCAAUGCAUUGGUAAUAAAAAUAACAAUGAGGUUCAUACAGAAGGGAAAAUUUCCCGCUCCAAAUCAAAAACGCCUGCCAUUCCUAAUUUUCCUGAACAGGAAGUCAUCAUAUCCAUGCCUACGCCCUUGCCUCAUCACCCGAAUAAUAACAAUAAUAAUGGUUUUCUAACACCUCGCCCAUCCUCACGUUGCACUACUCCUCGUAAUCCUCCUUCUCAUCCCUCUUAUUCAUCUCUCCCCAGAAUGGAUCAGAGACAUCAUCACUCAACACCGGCUAGAUCUUCCUCUGAGGCAGGUGGUUCUUUUAUACAAUCCGAUUCAAUGCAUAAUACAACGGAUGAACAUAGCUUAAUUGCUGAGUAUACACUCCGACUCAAUGAUGAAUCCAGGAGCAAUUCCGCUUUGCACUCACAAUUAGUCCAGGAGUUGGAGAGAAAAAACCAAGAAAUCAUUCGGGACAUUACAAAACUAAGACAAAACUCAAACAACUUUUCCUACCCAAGAGGAUCACGCUCUCGAGGAGGCUAUGCAGAUCACAAUUUACAGUCGAGACCCAUUAUUGUUCCGCCAAAUACUAAUCCCAUGCUGAUUAAUGAACUUCACGGUCUUCGAUCUAAGAAAGAGGAUUUGGAUCAACGGCUCACGGAAUUACAAAGUACACGAAAGGAUUUAAUGACUGAAUUAGAAGAGCUUAUGAAAUUGUUGAAAAAUCAAAAAAUGUUUGUUCAAAAUCCUGGUCCACCACCUCAUCCUCAAUUUCUAGCUACUCCAUCACAACAACAACAAUUCCUUUUUCAAAAACAAUUGCAAAAUCAAAAGAAUAGUCAUCAUCAGCAGGCUCAAAUAUCUUCUUUUCUUGGUGAGAUCGAUAGUGGAAAUUCACCCGAAUCUUACCCUCCUAAUCCGUCGUCCUUGGCCUCCCUCUCUGAUUAAAACAAAAGAAGGAAAGAGACGAGAUAAAUAAUGUUUGAUAAGUCUCCUGGUAACAAGACUUUUAUUUUGAUGAUUUAAAAAUAUGUACAUUCGAAUUGCACUUUUUUAUAUUUAAAAAAAAAAAAAAAAAAAAAAAAAAAAAAGCCUACAACUUCUGCAUUUACUGUUUCAUCAAUUGAUCUUUUUGAAAGUUAAAAAAAUAGUUAUAAUAAUUCAUUCCAGCAAGGCCUUUGUGUUCAGGAUAAAUUUGAAUAAUAGGGUUCCACGCCAUAACCAAUAUAUUCAAAUACAUACUUUAGUCAUCACUGAAAGAAUACUUCCAUAUAUAUAAGACUUGAAAUCUUCUUGUUUGUUAAUUUUACACAUUUGGGAUAAAAUAUGAUAAUUAUUGAAUGAAUAACGUUUUUUUGUGUGUCUGUGCAUUUGUAUGUAUGAAUUUUAAUUUUGAAAAAAAAAAAUCUUUAUGAAACGUAACUUAAUUUAAUUAUUAUAAUUACUGUAAUAAUGUAUUUGGAUUGAAAUAAAUCACAUAAAGACUCCCCAAUUAAAA